rnacentral:lncRNA from 1 species
UCCUUCCCGUCAAUUUUACUUCCAAAAAUAAAAGAACCAGGUUUAUCUUCCUUUCAUCCGUUGACACUGUCUGCUCUCUCUACAAUAGAGGGAAAAAUUGUGAAUCGAAUGGAAUAAAAGAGAAAAUAUUCCUUUCACAAUAAUAAAAAAAAAAAGUUCUCAAUCAAAUCUCUAAAACCAUAAAUAAAAAUAUAAAAAUAUGAAAAGCAAGUAUGUCAAACAUAGAGGUCUAAAUUCUUGGCUCAAAAAAAAAGAUUUAUUACCUUAGAUCCCUUUCCUUCGUCUGUAUUAUCACCCAUCUAAAGAACACUUGUUUCAAACCUAAAAAACAACAAUGAGUAAAAUACAUAGUUAGAUCGAAGACUAAAAAAUGAAAGAACUGAAAAAAAAAGAACUCCAAGCCCUUCUUUGAUACAAACAACGAUUUACCAAAGCAAAUGGAAGCGUGAGUAUUUUUGUGGAGGAAAAAAAAAGAGGAAGAACUGGAAAAGCGACAAGCUACUGAGAGGAAGAGAAGAAAGAGAGGGACGGCAGAAGUCUUGAGAGAGAGAGAGGACGGUAAAUUUUAUAACCCUAGACAUUUUGUGACAAAAAAUCGAAGAGAUGUGGGUGUGAUUUGACAUGGGCCCCUGUUUGCAAGAGCAGCUCACUUGCACUCUGACAACAAAGGAAGAGCAAGAAACAAAGAGGAAGCCAAUUGUCUGGCCAAAACAGCCUCAGGGUCUGGCCGAAAAGGGAGAAAGAAGUGGGCAGAAAGCAACACAGUAGCAAAAACAAGCGGAAGGAAAGAUGAACGAAGGUGAGAGGAGAGAAAAAAUCAGGUGCAACCAAGGUAAAUUUUGGAGUGGAAACAACACCAAUAUGUGGCCGAAAAAAAAAGAAGCAGGUUGGAGUGGGUAGAGAGGAGGCUGAUGAAGCGGAAGAAAGAAAAGACAUCACAGAACCGGAAGCAACGAAAGACAGGACGAAUGAAGGGAAGGCAGGAUCACGUGCAACAAGCACAAUUGACAACCAAUCAAUUCACACCACGUCACCAUCGAGCCAAUCUCAUCUCGCCAUGCGGAGGACGACCACAUUCGACAUGGAAACCGGGUGUUCGCCCAUAGUACUAUAUGGUUAAUGAUACCGAUUGCUAAUUGUCAGGAUCCUGUUCUAGUUCUCAAGUAGGUUAUUGACCACGGAUUCGUAUAGCUAAUACAUUUAUUUUUGAACUAGGAGGAGAGCUCCGCGCACCGCGCGGUGUAAUUUUCAGGCUUUCCCCACAAAUAUCGAAUAAUUUAAAUUAGGAUAUUAAUUAUAAAAAGUUACAUAAAAAUGCACCAAAAUCUUUGCAAUUAAUAUUUUUAUAGUUUUAUUAAGCAAUGUAGAUAAGCCACAAUUUUAGCUUGGUAGCUAAAUGACAAAGUCAUUUUUUGUUUUACCUACUAAUUCAACAGGAAUGACAAUGUUAUUAGUUUGAAAAUAAUGUAUUCCCGUGUAAUGCUACCUUAUGUUUUUUUAUGUAUAUCAAAAAUUUGUUAGUCAUGAACAAAUUCAAUAGGAAGCUAGACCUUUUGUUAACAAUACUAAAAUAUGUCAGGUAAGAAGUCUGUUUAAAUGUAAAAUAUAAGAAUGACUAUAAAAUGAUGUAACAUAGUUGACAGUCAAUUUCAGUCAACAAUAUAGUUGUUAAACUGUGUUUAAUACAACAAUCUGGUGGGCAGUAUUGGGAUGUAUCCAAAGGAAGAAAAGAUGGGAGGAUAUCUAAGGCUAGCCAUACCACACAAUUCCUAGCUUCAGUCUUCAAUAUAUUACAACUCCAACAAAGCUUCUCUCAGAGAGGUCUGUCCAUGGAAGACCUUGUUGCUCUCUCAGGUUAUAGAACCAAGUUCCAAACUGUCUUGCACAUAAUUUCUUUCCAUCUUCACAAACUAAAAAAAUUAUUCUUUCCACACUUUGAAGGUGGCCACACGAUAGGUUUUUCCCAUUGCUCAUCAUUCCAGAAUAGAAUCCACAAUUUCAAUGCCACCCAUGACAUUGAUCCUACACCACACCCAUCCUUUGCAGCAAGUUUGAGAAGCAUUUGUCCAAACACGAGCGGGGCAAAAAAUGCAGGCACCUCAAUGGUUCCAUCGUCAACUACUUUUGACAACACGUACUACAAGUUGAUUCUCCAAGGGAAGAGCCUCUUCUCUUCAGAUCAGGCUUUACUCACUUCUCCAAAGACAAAAGACUUGGUUUCAAAGUUUGUAAGCUCAAAAAAAACUUUCAAUGAGGCCUUUUUAAGUUUCAUGAUCAAGAUGAGCAGCAUCACAGGUGGUCAGGAAAUUAGAAAGGACUGUAGGGUGGUAAACUAAACUAUCUUUCUCAACUAAGUGCCUCCAUCAUCCAAAGUGAUCGGAAGAAAACCAGAGCUAUCAAACUUGUUGAUUUUUAAGAUUAUAUGAACCCCGAAAUUCAAUACUCAACAGAACAAUGCAUAUAUUAUUUACAGAUUUAAAUGUUAAAGCAGUCUAUUUCCUCUCCUGCAAAUGGCAGUCCUGUUUGGAUACUCUGUUAUGCAUAAUUUUUGGGGUUCAAUACAAAACUUGAUGUAGGGGGAGGAAAGAGAUAAAUGGAAAGCCUUCAUGAAAUUUAACAACUAAUUUUACUUGAAAGCAGAAUUGGAGGUCUUGACAUACAUUAUUUGCCCACGUGUUGCUCAUAAAUGAAAAUGUAAAAUUGUCCAAAAUUUCCUUGGAUAUGAACAUCCAAACUGAUUGACUAGAUCUUGGUACAAAUGCACUUAAUCCAGUUUUAGGAAGUUAACAUUUUUGUACACUUCUGAACAGAAGAUAAUAAGCUCAUAUCAUUUUGAUGCUACAAACAAGUUAUUGGUGCAUACAGGAUUGCAAUGGUCUUGUAUAGGACAUAAAAAAAUUACAAAAACCAAAACAAUUGUUUAUGGUCCAUAGUUCAAUUCAGCAUCAAGCUUAGUUUAAUUCCAGAAGUGAAGCAAUAAAUAAAAACAAGGGGGGAACAGAUAGUGUAACAUGUUAAUGUCAUCCCCAACCCAUGUAUUUUAAUAGUCAUUCAAGAAGGCAAAAAAAAAAAAAGAGAGAAAAAGAAGAAAGAAAAAAAAUAUAUUGCAUCUUACCAUUUUUCUCAAUAAGUAUCACGACUUUUUGCUAACUUAGUUUGUCAUUAUCCAAAAUUAUGUCUACCAACUGUAUAUUCCUACUUAAUCCAGAUGCUUUGUCAGCUGGCAUGAAUGAAAACCCAUCUAGAAGCUUCAUGCACUUCAAUCCCCAUUUAACCAUCAAGAACUCAAUCAGGUGAUGCCCACUGUUUACAGUAAAACGAGAAACAAAAAAUUAACAUAAACCUGUGAUACACCCAAGUGCGGCACCAAAUGUCCUUGAGCCAAGAAAAGAUCAGGAAUUGAAAAUCCAUAAUCACCUUCUAUUGUGGUAAGCUGUUAUAAAAACCGAAGAGGGAGAAUUCUGGAGCAGAAAUGCCACAGUAGGAAAAAGAUAAUCAAAUGCUUCAAAGUGCAUGCGUGGUAAAAAUAUCCAAACAAACCCAUCUUUCCAGUUAAGUGAUAUGUGAAACAAAACCGAAAAAGUCACCAUAUUAGGAAGAGAAAAAUAGGGACAAGCCUAC